CAGGCUUAACACAUGCAAGUCGAGGGGCAGCAUGGUCUUAGCUUGCUAAGGCCGAUGGCGACCGGCGCACGGGUGAGUAACACGUAUCCAACCUGCCGUCUACUCUUGGACAGCCUUCUGAAAGGAAGAUUAAUACAAGAUGGCAUCAUGAGUCCGCAUGUUCACAUGAUUAAAGGUAUUCCGGUAGACGAUGGGGAUGCGUUCCAUUAGAUAGUAGGCGGGGUAACGGCCCACCUAGUCUUCGAUGGAUAGGGGUUCUGAGAGGAAGGUCCCCCACAUUGGAACUGAGACACGGUCCAAACUCCUACGGGAGGCAGCAGUGAGGAAUAUUGGUCAAUGGGCGAGAGCCUGAACCAGCCAAGUAGCGUGAAGGAUGACUGCCCUAUGGGUUGUAAACUUCUUUUAUAAAGGAAUAAAGUCGGGUAUGGAUACCCGUUUGCAUGUACUUUAUGAAUAAGGAUCGGCUAACUCCGUGCCAGCAGCCGCGGUAAUACGGAGGAUCCGAGCGUUAUCCGGAUUUAUUGGGUUUAAAGGGAGCGUAGAUGGAUGUUUAAGUCAGUUGUGAAAGUUUGCGGCUCAACCGUAAAAUUGCAGUUGAUACUGGAUAUCUUGAGUGCAGUUGAGGCAGGCGGAAUUCGUGGUGUAGCGGUGAAAUGCUUAGAUAUCACGAGGAACUCCGAUUGCGAAGGCAGCCUGCUAAGCUGCAACUGACAUUGAGGCUCGAAAGUGUGGGUAUCAAACAGGAUUAGAUACCCUGGUAGUCCACACGGUAAACGAUGAAUACUCGCUGUUUGCGAUAUACAGCAAGCGGCCAAGCGAAAGCGUUAAGUAUUCCACCUGGGGAGUACGCCGGCAACGGUGAAACUCAAAGGAAUUGACGGGGGCCCGCACAAGCGGAGGAACAUGUGGUUUAAUUCGAUGAUACGCGAGGAACCUUACCCGGGCUUAAAUUGCAGAUGAAUUACGGUGAAAGCCGUAAGCCGCAAGGCAUCUGUGAAGGUGCUGCAUGGUUGUCGUCAGCUCGUGCCGUGAGGUGUCGGCUUAAGUGCCAUAACGAGCGCAACCCUUGUUGUCAGUUACUAACAGGUUCCGCUGAGGACUCUGACAAGACUGCCAUCGUAAGAUGUGAGGAAGGUGGGGAUGACGUCAAAUCAGCACGGCCCUUACGUCCGGGGCUACACACGUGUUACAAUGGGGGGUACAGAGGGCCGCUACCACGCGAGUGGAUGCCAAUCCCCAAAACCUCUCUCAGUUCGGACUGGAGUCUGCAACCCGACUCCACGAAGCUGGAUUCGCUAGUAAUCGCGCAUCAGCCACGGCGCGGUGAAUACGUUCCCGGGCCUUGUACACACCGCCCGUCAAGCCAUGGGAGCCGGGGGUACCUGAAGUGCGUAACCGCGAGGAGCGCCCUAGGGUAAAACUGGUGACUGGGGCUAAGUCGUA
rnacentral:rRNA from 1 species